AGUGCAUGUGGUGGAUGCCUUGGCAGUCAGAGGCGAUGAAAGACGUGAUAGCCUGCGAAAAGCUCCGGGGAGGCGGCAAAUAUCCUUUGAUCCGGAGAUGUCUGAAUGGGGGAACCCACCUACUUUAAGGUAGGUAUUGCAACAUGAAUACAUAGUGUUGCAAGGCGAACGAGGGGAAGUGAAACAUCUCAGUACCCUUAGGAAAAGAAAUCAAUUGAGAUUCCCUCAGUAGCGGCGAGCGAACGGGGAUCAGCCCAUUAAGUUAUGUGUGUUUUAGUGGAACGCUCUGGGAAGUGCGAACGUAGAGGGUGAUAUUCCCGUACACGAAAGGGCACACAUAAUGAUGACGAGUAGGGCGAGGCACGUGAAACCUUGUCUGAAUAUGGGGGGACCAUCCUCCAAGGCUAAAUACUCCUGACUGACCGAUAGUGAACCAGUACCGUGAGGGAAAGGCGAAAAGAACCCCUGUGAGGGGAGUGAAAUAGAUCCUGAAACCGCAUGCAUACAAGCAGUGGGAGCACCUUCGUGGUGUGACUGCGUACCUUUUGUAUAAUGGGUCAGCGACUUAUAUUCAGUAGCGAGGUUAACCGUAUAGGGGAGCCGUAGAGAAAUCGAGUCUUAAUAGGGCGUUUAGUUGCUGGGUAUAGACCCGAAACCAGGCGAUCUAUCCAUGAGCAGGUUGAAGGUUGGGUAACACUAACUGGAGGACCGAACCCACUGUCGUUGAAAAGCCAGGGGAUGACUUGUGGAUAGGGGUGAAAGGCUAAUCAAGCCUGGUGAUAGCUGGUUCUCCCCGAAAGCUAUUUAGGUAGCGCCUCGGACGAAUACCAUAGGGGGUAGAGCACUGUUUCGGCUAGGGGGUCAUCCCGACUUACCAAACCGAUGCAAACUCCGAAUACCUAUGAGUACUAUCCGGGAGACAGACUGCGGGUGCUAACGUCCGUAGUCAAGAGGAAAACAAUCCAGACCGCCAGCUAAGGCCCCAAAAUCAUAGUUAAGUGGGAAACGAUGUGGGAAGGCAUAGACAGCUAGGAGGUUGGCUUAGAAGCAGCCACCCUUUAAAGAAAGCGUAAUAGCUCACUAGUCGAGUCGGCCUGCGCGGAAGAUGUAACGGGGCUAAAACUAUGUGCCGAAGCUGCGGAUGUAUACUUUGUAUACGUGGUAGGGGAGCGUUCUGUAAGCCGAUGAAGGUGUGUUGAGAAGCAUGCUGGAGGUAUCAGAAGUGCGAAUGCUGACGUGAGUAACGACAAAACGGGUGAAAAACCCGUUCGCCGAAAGACCAAGGGUUCCAGUCCAACGUUAAUCGGGGCUGGGUGAGUCGACCCCUAAGGCGAGGCCGAAAGGCGUAGUCGAUGGGAAAAUGGUUAAUAUUCCAUUACUUCUGUGUAAUGCGAUGAGAGGACGGAGAAGGCUAAAUCAGCCUGGCGUUGGUUGUCCAGGUGAAAGGAUGUAGGCAUGUAUCUUAGGCAAAUCCGGGGUACUCUAUGCUGAGAUCUGAUAGCAAGCUGUACUUGUACAGCGAAGUGGUUGAUGCCAUGCUUCCAGGAAAAGUCUCUAAGCUUCAGUUACACAGGAAUCGUACCCGAAACCGACACAGGUGGUCAGGUCGAGUAGACCAAGGCGCUUGAGAGAACUCUGCUGAAGGAACUAGGCAAAAUGGUACCGUAACUUCGGGAGAAGGUACGCUGUUGUUGGUGAUGGAACUUGCUUCCUGAGCUGACGACAGCCGCAGAAACCAGGCCGCUGCAACUGUUUAUUAAAAACAUAGCACUCUGCAAACACGAAAGUGGACGUAUAGGGUGUGAUGCCUGCCCGGUGCUGGAAGGUUAAUUGAUGGGGUUAGCGUAAGCGAAGCUCUUGAUCGAAGCCCCAGUAAACGGCGGCCGUAACUAUAACGGUCCUAAGGUAGCGAAAUUCCUUGUCGGGUAAGUUCCGACCUGCACGAAUGGCAUAAUGAUGGCGGCGCUGUCUCCAGCAGAGGCUCAGUGAAAUCGAAAUCGCUGUGAAGAUGCAGUGUACCCGCGGCUAGACGGAAAGACCCCGUGAACCUUUACUGCAGCUUGACACUGAACUUUGACCUUACUUGUGUAGGAUAGGUGGGAGGCUUUGAAGCUGGAACGCUAGUUCCAGUGGAGCCGUCCUUGAAAUACCACCCUGGUAAUGUUGAGGUUCUAACUCUGUCCCGUGAUCCGGGACGAGGACCGUGUCUGGUGGGUAGUUUGACUGGGGCGGUCUCCUCCUAAAGAGUAACGGAGGAGUACGAAGGUGCGCUCAGCGUGGUCGGAAAUCACGCGUAGAGUAUAAAGGCAAAAGCGCGCUUAACUGCGAGACCCACAAGUCGAGCAGGUACGAAAGUAGGUCUUAGUGAUCCGGUGGUUCUGUAUGGAAGGGCCAUCGCUCAACGGAUAAAAGGUACUCUGGGGAUAACAGGCUGAUACCGCCCAAGAGUUCAUAUCGACGGCGGUGUUUGGCACCUCGAUGUCGGCUCAUCUCAUCCUGGGGCUGAAGCAGGUCCCAAGGGUAUGGCUGUUCGCCAUUUAAAGAGGUACGCGAGCUGGGUUUAGAACGUCGUGAGACAGUUCGGUCCCUAUCUACCGUGGGCGCUGGAAAUUUGAGAGGAUCUGCUCCUAGUACGAGAGGACCAGAGUGGACGAACCUCUGGUGUACCGGUUGUGACGCCAGUCGCAUCGCCGGGUAGCUAUGUUCGGAAGGGAUAACCGCUGAAAGCAUCUAAGCGGGAAGCCUACCUCAAGAUAAGAUUUCCCUAGGACUUUAUGUCCUCUAAAGAGCCGUUCGAGACUAGGACGUUGAUAGGUUGGAUGUGGAAGCAUAGUGAUAUGUGAAGCUGACCAAUACUAAUUGCUCGUGAGGCUUGACU
rnacentral:rRNA from 1 species